GUGGGGAAUAUUGGACAAUGGGCGAAAGCCUGAUCCAGCCAUGCCGCGUGUGUGAAGAAGGUCUUCGGAUUGUAAAGCACUUUAAGUUGGGAGGAAGGGCAUUAACCUAAUACGUUAGUGUUUUGACGUUACCGACAGAAUAAGCACCGGCUAACUUCGUGCCAGCAGCCGCGGUAAUACGAAGGGUGCAAGCGUUAAUCGGAAUUACUGGGCGUAAAGCGCGCGUAGGUGGUUCGUUACGUUGGAUGUGAAAGCCCCGGGCUCAACCUGGGAACUGCAUCCAAGACUGGCGAGCUAGAGUACGGUAGAGGGUGGUGGAAUUGCCUGUGUAGCGGUGAAAUGCGUAGAUAUAGGAAGGAACACCAGUGGCGAAGGCGACCACCUGGACUGAUACUGACACUGAGGUGCGAAAGCGUGGGGAGCAAACAGGAUUAGAAACCCGUGUAGUCC
rnacentral:rRNA from 1 species